CCUUAGGUGGCAGGUCAAAGAAACCUCUCAGGUCACCUGUAAUUGUUGUAGUUAAUGCUGAAGGCUUUCUUUCCUUUGGCAGGCAAAGGAAGAGACAGCAGAAUAUUGAAACAGCUCCCCGGACAUGCCAGGGUCUAGGAGGCACUGCAGACUGUGUGCAGAGGCAGCUGAUUCACCGCUUGUGUUGUUAGGAUGGUGAACUUGAACAGUUUCAUAGGCAACGGAGAACCCCAGGACACAGACGUGAUUUCUGACAUUCCAGAGGGAGGGAAGAACGGCUGGCAUCUGCACAGUUCCAAGGACACCCUGCCCUGUUGCUCUUUCCGACUUCCUGGUGCACACUCCAUGGCUGAGCUUAACUUCAGCCACUUUUAAGGGUUGCAUGAAGCAGAGCAGCAUGGAACAAUUGCUUCCACUUUAAUUUCCGAUGCUUACGAAGGCUGAGCUGAAGGCUGCACCACCAGAAGCUUGGAACCAGUGGAGAAUUUCAGCUCCUGUGAAUAUCGGACUUAGCCUAGUAGCUGUGCGGUGGCACUGUUGAACACCAGCUUGCACAGCCCUGUGGAGGGGAGGAAGUUCCUCUUCUGUAUUGCUGUUCCUGCAGUGAUGUUCCACACGCAGGCUCCAGAGUCCGGUCCCUUGGUUCAUGUUUGGAUAUCAUUUCCCCAAAUGAAACCCCAAGCAGCGUCCACCAGCUUUCGGGUGCUGCGCCUGAAUCACCCACCACCAAGACGCCCGUGUUUUUCCUGCGUGGAGCUGGGACAACUGGCAAAACCCGACAAAGAUGGAGAGAUGAGAUGGUCGCACUGGGUGAACCAGGCCAGUCACGGAGGACAAGCACGAUACAGAAAUGGAGACACAGAGAGUUUGUUGCCCUGAUCGCGUAGCUAUAGGCUGAAGACAAGGCUUUGAACUCAGGUGUUCCGAAUCCAAAUCUGGCAGUGUUUAACCUAAGGGAACGCAACUGGCAGUAUUUGUUACCGGCGAUAAAGUUCGAGCUAAGUGAAAAGCAGAAGUUUGGAAAACUUUAUCUGCCAUUCUGAACUUGACGCCUUCUCAUCAAACGUCCUGGAGGAGAACUGCGGCGAUACUGGUGACUUUGAAUUCGUGAUACUGUACAAUGAAACAUGUCAAUGUUUGGAAAACCUGCAGGAGUCUGUGAAGCAGUUGUUUCCCAAUGAACAAUCAAGAUGUUAGGAAAUCUUGCCUGGGUAAGAGAUCCCUUCAAAGUGGGAGACAGACCAGUGGAUUUUAAUGGGGCAGAGUAGAACAGUUCGGCAGCACAGUUUGGGAUUUUACGUUGCAGCUACGCUUAACCAAAACUUGUCAAGUGUGACCAUAGUACCAAAGAACACCCAUCAUUAUCCGAAAAGGCUGUUAAACUGCUUCUCCCUUUUCCAACCAUGUAUCUGUGUGAGGCCAGAUUUUCUCUAUACCUUUUAACCAGAACAAGCUAUUGCCCCAGACCGAAAGCAGAAGCUGAUCUCAGAAUCCAGCUGUCUUCCAUUAAGCUGGACAUUAAAGGGAUUUGAAGAUAUGUAAAACAAUGUCCCUCUUCUCACCAGUCAUCUUUGUUCUGUAAGGCACCGCUGUGGCAGGAAAAAUGAAACCCCCUUUUCAACACUGCCCUUUCAUAGUCGCCAAGGAGAGCCUUCGCGAGCUGGUGAUAAUUUCAACUUCAUUCUGGAAAUGUAAUCCAGUCCCAUCCAUCCUCCUAAGUGACGAGCCAUGGUCAACACCCCGUUUUUCCCAUCUACGGCUGGAGGAUAAUGAUGCCAGUUCUCAUUGUGCUUCUAGACCUUGGGACCUGAGGGACCAGCCUUUUUUUUUUUUUUCCCUGCCAGAGAUAGGGAAAGGACGGGCCAGUGUUUCGAACAAACGCUUACCCUUCUUCCAGUUGAAUAGACGCGGGGAAGGCUGUGGAAGAGGGAGAGGGGCAGCCUCGAAGGCCCGGCAACCAGGCCAGGAAGAGCAUUCAAUCCGAGACCUGACAUUUGCCUAUUGCCCUCUUAUCAGAGUCGCUAAGUCACUGGGGCCUUUGUGCCGCGGAAUUGGGAAGGAAGGAAUGGCCCGGCCCAGCCAAUCCCGUGUCCGGCCCUCUGCCCAGGCGCCUGCCAUUAGCAUUUCCCUGACAUCUGACUGAUAUCUUCACUUCACUUCGGUAAACAGGCCACCUCAAGGCCAAGGUGACAGUGACCUCUGGCGCUGCAAGCAGCACGGGAUUCUCCCCGGAGGCCCUGGUAGAGCCCUUUCGCAUGGGCCAGGGCUCUUAUGUCCCACCCCGCCACCACUCCGCUGAGUGCUGACUAAAUAAAUAAAUAAAUAAAUAACCGUCCUGGUCCUGCAGAACAGACCGCGGGUGUGCCGGGCAGAGAAAGAGAGGUGAGGAAGGGCAGCAGGGAGGGCUGGGCGAGGCAGAGGGGGAGGUCUGACCUAGAAGGUCGCCUUUGCUUCUCUGCCACUGAGAACAAUGCAGCUGCCCAGGAAACACUACCAGAGGCAGCCCGGCUAUUAAUAGGCUGGAGCACGCGGGCGGCCAAGCUGCUGCAUUUCUGAUGUUUAAAUCUCCAGUGUGAAGUUGCUUGCAGGCUCCGAUUUUGCAAAAGACAAUUAAAUAUAGAUUCUUUGGGGUGAGGGUUGGGAAGGGUGUGGGUGGAAUGUAAGCCUGUGUCGCAAUGCUAUUUAAUCCUGAGUGUUUCAGUGGGUCUACUCACAUGCUCGACAGACCUACUUGAGCACGUGAGGUGUGACAAGUGCAGGGUACAACCAGAUGAAGCCUCCCCCCGCCCUUGCCCCCAGGAAACCCAGGGGGGUGCAAUCACUACUUCCUGCAGGGGCCAGGCAAACAACAUACAUAAAUGAUGCAGACGGUGUGAAACAAUAGGGAACGGUGGGGUCUGUGUAUAAAGCAUAGCUGUGUCCUCUGUACAGGCAUUGGGGGCUGCUCAGCCCCAAUAAUUAUUACUGUGCAGGCAUAACAGCCCAGUUUUGCUAUGCCUUAUGAUUUUUAUUUAUUUUACAUGUUUAUUUAUUUGGGGGACGAGUCGCAAGCAGAGGAGGGGCGGAGGAUCCAAAGCGGGCCCUUGGGCUCUUUGCUUCUGGCAGUGAGCCCCAUGUGGGGCUUGAACUCACGAACCAGGAGAUCAUGACCUGAGCUGAAGUUGGACGCUCAACUGUCUGAGCCACCUAGGUGCCCGAUGCCUUAUGAUUUUUAAAGGAAAGACAUACAUUUGGAAUUUCGUGUGAGGUUUUUUUUUUCCUGGUUUUGAAAAAAUAUCGUGUGGGCCAAACAAACCACAUCUGCAGGCCUGUUGGGCCCAGGCAAGAUCUUAUAAUAACAUAUGAUAAAAGUUGAUAUAGAAGGAAUCCCAGAAGCUGAUGAGAGCCUAGAGGUGGGCAUUUAACCCAUCCAGGGUCGGGGGUGGAUAGGCCUUCGUAGUGAAGGAGAACUGUCUGAACAGUGAUAAUGAUGGAAUAAAUCAUGGCAAAAAGUUUGGGGGAACCAUUCCAGGCAGAGGAGUAGGAAUUUUGCUGGAUACAUUGCACCUGCCAGCUAAAGACUGGUUCUCAGCCUUUGUUGCAACCAAGGGUGGCCAUCUGACAAACGGUGUCUGUCUCAUGACCUUAAAGCGUGGGGGGUUGGGUGGUAAUCUGCCCUCUCCUCACCCUCCCUGCUUCCAUAUUGCUGACUGACCUGGCCAUCAAGAACACAGAUUGUGGAGCUGGUGAUGAAACCUCUUUGGCUUUGGUUUCUGUAAAAUUGAGAUAAUAUUAUCUACCCCAUAGGGAGAUAGGUUGAAGGAUUACUGUCUACAAAGUAUUUAGAACAGUGCCUGACAUGUACAUUUGCCACCCAGGUGUUAUUCCAUCAAUACGGUUCUGCUGACAAUAUGUUCUGGGUGGGGGGGCGGCAGAGCAAGAAGAGGGCUGGGACCCAGCUCCGGCCUUGCACCUGCACUGAUUCGCACAGACGAGUCGACUGCUCUCUCGCUUAUGCCACUGCGUUCUGCACCUCUGACGCAGCAGCCCUGCUAUCCUUCAAGUGCAAUGAGUAAUUCAGAGAUCGGCUGGGGCUCUUCCGGCCUGUGAAGAAAUUGCCUCAAAUUGCCCCUCACUGCAUAGCCUGGUAAAAUCCGGAUGGACGCUGAUACCCGGUGGCUUGUGGCUCCUGGAAGUUGUGAGCCCAGGUUUCUCUUGUGCCACCCUGUCCCACACCCCAUCGUGCCCUCGAGUUCCCACAUCAGAGACAACAAGCAGGUACCCACAGGAAGUUUGAGGGGGCUGAGCGGGCUUCACUGAAAAAGGUGGCUGAGUGCCUGGGUAGAGCAGGUAUGUGACCACCAUGCAAACUCUGAGCCCUCUGCUAGACCCCCAUAUCUCCCUCUCCCCCACCUUAGGAGCCCGGUUUUUCCAGUUGCCUGUGAAGGCCGCUCAGUGCCCCUACCGUCCUCCGCUUUCAGGGUGCCCAAGGGACGAAUGGCCCCGGCUACAUCUGCACGGAGGCCUGGCCGGGGGGGGGGGGGGGCGGGCCCCUUGACUGAGAGAGGCAGGGAUACGAAGGCAGCCCUACGGACACAGAAGUCCCAAACCUCGGGGACCAGCACAGCAGCCCAGGACAUUUCCGCCCAACCUUCCCUCCCUCUCAUUUUCACGCAGAGUUCAAUUGCGUUAUGGUCUGACUGCUCUCUCAGCCAUGGCGUUUCCCUUAAUAAAACCCUUGUACCUCCGUU